GACAUGGUAUUUUUUACUUAUGAAAUGCUCUAUAACUCUUAUCUUAGAGGUACGACUCAGCCCAAGGACCAUCAAACAACAAGUUAUGCCCCAUGGGCAAGAGUUGACACCAUCAUAUUGUGUUUUGAUUUAUGAGAUAUUCUAUAACUCUUUCCUUAGAGGAAAGACUUAACCCAAGAACUUUCAAAUAAGAAGUUACGCCCCAUGGGUAAAAGUUGACACUAUCUGUCAAAAUAAGAGGAAGAGGGAUUGGAAAAUAGUAAACUAAAAGAGUGAAAAUAAAGCAGCUGUAAACUGCAACAAAAAAGACUACAGUGAAGAAGGAGAAACUGAAACUUUUUGAGAGUUU
rnacentral:lncRNA from 1 species